UUUUUUUUUAUGUGAUAUAUAAUAUGUUACUUUUAUUAUAAGUAGUUGAGUAACUGUGAACUCUUAAUUAGUUUAUAGGUACUUAAAUUGUUGAAUUACUAGAUUAAUACACUUUAUAAUAUAAGCCACAUAUAUUUUGUAAUAACAAAGAGUUUAUGACAAAUUAUUAAGAAUGAAUUUAACAAAUAAACAAAUUUAAAAAGCAGUUUAAAAAUUUUUAAAAUUUUUAAUGUAAGUCUUUUCACAUCGGAGAGAGCUGUUGGCUAGUUCCAAGAGAGAAUGAGAACAAAAAGAAAAUAAAAGAAAAAAAAUUAAAAAAGCUAAUAGAGAAAAAAGAAGAAGAAAGGAUUUAAGACAGUAGGGGUAGUAUUGUCCAAACAUAUCAUUUAAGGGGGCAAAAUGUCUAUUAUUAUAGUUUAGGGGGUAAACUGCAACUGGGUAUAUAGUUUGUGGGGGUUUUUUGCAUUUAACCCUUGAAAAUAGCAGAAACAAGAAUCUAUAUAUGCAUGUAAAAGCUAUAAAUAGCAACUAGUACUUUUUAAGCCAUUCCUCGCAUUUCCUUCGCCGCCUUUCUCUCCUUACCAAUUACCGCCUCUCCCUUUUUGAUUACCUUGAGAUGAGAUAGUGUCAUAUUCAUACAAUAUUUUCUCUCUGUAUUUCUUUCUUUAUUUCUCAACACCCUAAAAACCCAUCGGGGGGGAAGGAAAAAGAAGAAGAAGAAGAAGAAGAAGGGGAUUUGCAAAACUUUGUAAUAUCGGUUUGAUUUUUGCUUCAACCUUAGCAUUGCCGGACGGAGGCGAUAAAAUGGCGCCCCGUCUCUUUUCAUGCUUUGGCAGAGGCGCCUCUUCAUCUUCACACCAAGGAACCUCGUCCGAGAUUGCCACCGCAGACAUAUCGGCUGAGGAGCAGAGGAGGGGGGGGCCGGUGGUGGUGGAGCUCUUUACGUCACAGGGAUGCGCCACCUCGGCUCAGGCGGAGCUACUCUUCUCAAGGCUGGGAAGGGGGGAUUUCGAGCUCGAGAUGCCGCUGGUAUUGUUAGCUUACCAUGUUGACUACUGGGAUUACCAGGGCUGGAAGGACCCUUUUGGGUCAAGCCUGUGGACUGCUAGGCAAAAGGCCUAUGUCGAGGCCCUAAACCUUGAUACGAUGUUCACACCUCAAGUUGUGGUCCAGGGCCGAGCCCAAUGUGUUGUCAAUGAAGAAGAUCCUAUGUUGUCCUGCAUCACGUCCGCACCAAGGGUCCCUGCUCCCUCUUUCCAGGUUAGCAAAACUUCAACAUCAUUUCUUGAAUCAAUAGUGGCUUUACAUGAGAAAUUCUAACUAAAUCCUUAAGAUUUUUGGUGUAGUAUUUCUUCCAACGAUUGCAUCGACAUAUAGAGUUGUGGAUCAAUGAAUACUGUUUACCGUUUUUCCCUUUUUAAUGCAAAAGAUAUACACCGUUAAGCAUGGGUCAAAUUUAUACGACUUUUUCGUCUACAAUGGUAAACAUUUAAUUUAAUUUAACGAGGACCCGAGCCAAUGCUCUCAUUUUUAUGUCUCUAGUUUGUUUUUCCUUUUGGUUGGGUUGAGGGAGGUGAAUACAAAAGAUGCUUGCGAAGAGAACUAUUAUCCUUUUUCUUUCUAGGGGUUUUGGACCCUCGAGUCAAGUUCAAAGAGAACUAUUUACCUAAGCUAAAACCUCCACAUAACUCUGAAAAGUUCACAUAAUUACUAUAUAUCAAUCGUGGUACUUGUACGGUAAGGAAGUGGGGUUGGUAAACCUUUUUUUUUUUUUUAAAUUGAAGGCCUUAGUUAGCAUUCUCUUGUUCUCUUAUUUUACACUGAUUAAGCUGUAUUAGUUGUUGUUAUAAUUAAACCAAUCAUGUUUUGUUUACUACUUUUUUUCAUAUGCUUUUCAUUAAUACUAGAUGACUCAUUCAAAAUGCUAGAUGAUUUAUAUUGAUUAAAUUAUUCUUGAGAUUUACUAGUACUAUUUAGUUUUUCGAAUACAAGCUCGAUGUAGUCAAUGUGAGUACAACAUUUUUUUUUUUUAUGGGGUCGAGGGACGACCUAGUCGUUGUAGGAAUACUUGUUGUCGUUGAUAACAUUUUAUUUUUUUGACUGUCUGAAAAAACGUGUGAAUGCGAGCAGGCCGCAUUCCAAAUGCCGACACCAGAAUCGCUGCAGGUGUCCCUAACAGGAGCUCUAAGGAGUAAGGUGGACCAGCAAGGCGUCAACAUCAUGGUUGCUCUAUAUGAAAGUGGUUUGGUCACCGACUGCCAGAAAGGAGAAAACAAAGGCCGCGUCAUAGCUAAUGACUUUGUCGUUCGGAAGCUUGAGAAGCUCUGCUCUGUCAAGGACAUCGCCGCUAAGAAAACUGUUUCAGGGACCGUUAAUUUCUCCCUCUGGGAAGGCUUCAAUAGCAGCAAAUGUGGAGUUGCCGUCUUUGCGCAAAAUGCCUCUCAUCACAUUUUUGGUUCGCAGAAUUUUCGAUUGCCGGAAACUCUGUGAAAGUUUGAUUCAUUGAUCUUGAGCAUGUUUCCGAGUUAUUCAUUAAACUGGAUGCCGGAUGGGAUGUCUCAUCCAUCCCUAUGGUUAAUGCAGUUGAAACUUUCCAGCUUCUACCACGUUAAUGUACAGUGCAUAUUUCGUAGGUUGUAGUUUUCUUUUCUUUUUUCAUUUUUCUUCACCUUUUCAUAUUUACUUUAUUUUCUUAGUUUCACGUGAGCUUUUAGACUUGAUGUUUCUUGGUGAUCACCAAUACUAUGGUUGAUGCGAGUAUUUCUUUUGGCAAGAGGGAAGGGCGCUUUCGAGUUUUGAUCCAUUACAAUCCCAAGUCAUAUCCUAUGAGCCCCAGAAUUAAAGUAGAAACUGCACAAAUUAUAAGGGGCUCUUCUUUUAUUUUUUAUUUUUUUGUGAAAAAAUGGUUACACUACGCAGUGCUGCCAACUCGUAACUGCCGGAACUAAUGGAUAUUGCGGGACAAGUACGGAAGGUUGCGUAUUCAGUAAUCUUUAAAGGACACAUUCAUGAAAGAACACUACCAACAACGUACAGGUCCGUUACGGCUCAUUCAUCUCAAUUGUUUGAUGCUUUAACAAAGAACCGUGCAAUUUCAGCAGAAUGCGUCAGCCGCACUUUCGAAGAUCACAUAAUCAUCUUUUAGCUCAGUGAUACAUGAGCGGUCUACAAGGCUGUAGAAUCCCAGCCAUAUUUACGCCAAAUAUAAACAUUAAUUAGUGAAAACAACGUUCGGGGAACGUGAACCGCGUCUGCCAUACCACUAAAUCAACCUGCCUCCGAGACUUCACUCAAGUUUGCUUGAAACGCUGAUCAUCAUUACAAGAUCAAACGGCCUCAAGAAUUCUAUCAAUCACCUAAAAAGAUAUUUCUCCAUAUCCUUUGGCUCAUGCCACCAAAAUCAGCCAUGCCUCACAAGAUACUUAUUAGCCGUUCAUCCAAUAGACAAUAUAACAACUAUGGCCUCUCCGCCUGUAAGUCAUCCCUUGCGGCAAGACGUGAGGGAGUAGUACUUUUUUGGCAUUCCCCUCCCAACAAAACAGAAUUAAGCAAGCUGACAGGUAAAACACAGUAACAGAUGAAGCACUAUUGGUUUCAAUUAACAAAUUUACCGUUGUUGUCACAAAAGACAGAGGAGGAAGAUGGACAGAAAAAGCAGCUCAGCCACAGGCAUCAUGUACAAAACAAUCUCGAACACCUGAAAAACUUGCUACUUCAAGCUUUCUAUCUUGAUCAGAGUUGAAUUUCAGGAAACUAAAAUGCAAUAUUUACAAAUUCGAUUAUGCCAAUGUUUCUGCUAUCUCCGUAAGACACCUUUAUGUCACAAAAAUUGAUUUCUAACCAUGUUAUUCUUCUCUACAUGGAGCACUGGACAUGUUCCUACCCCUUCCCCAAAAUACAGACGAUGCGUUUCAGGUUUAAAGCUCCGUUCAGGCAAAACAAGCACUUCCAUGAAAACCGUCUAGAUUCUACACAGAAUCUACAGCCUCGACCUGCUGCCGAGCAAGAUAUUUCUCCCUUCGCUCUUUCUACAGUACAAAUGAAAAUGAAAAGUAAUCAUCAGGGAAAAAAAAAUCAACAUCUGAAGAUCAGUUACCUUUAAAUAAGGUCUCAUAUAUCAAGAGCCAUCCAAAAUGUAUUUCUAGAUACUCACCCAUUCAUCUAUGACAAGACCUUCCCCAACUACACGGGGACCUGGAUCAGCUGGAGGUUUCUUACGUGCCUCUAUUGCAGCUUCAGCCUCGGCCAACUGACGCUUGAGUUUCUCCAAUGCCUGAAAAAACAAUUAAAUUAUAGGAAGUUAAAGAUGACUAGGAAAGCAAGAACAAAAAUGCAUAAAAAGAAUGUAUAAAGUAGGUUACUCUUACAGAAGUAGAGCGCUCCGGAUCCAAAAACACGACACGCAGAAUACGUUCCACCGUCACUUGAUCCUUUUGUUCAUCAAACUGCAAGAGUAGAAGUUGUCAAGAGUAGAAAAACUCUAUGGCUUGACGAUCCAAUAAGAGAAACUGCAAAAUAUACAGAUGGCAAUUCAGGGCAUGCAUAUCAUAACAAAGCAAAUGCAGCUGCCAAAAUAUUCUUCACAUAACUUGGGAUUAUCAACCUUCUGUUUUCUCAUUAACCACAUUUUGCAAUGCACGAUACCAUCGUCAGCCAUAGAAAGCAUUCUAUUACAUAUGCUGGCCAGAGGGAGGUAGCAAAAUGAAAUCAGCCCUUCAAAAUGCAGUAUUCCACCACAAAAAAAUUAUUAUUACAUGACUCUUUUGAUAUUGUGUCUAAAAGUACAAUGCAUCUGACAUAGAACUGAGACCUCAGAACAUAUCUUCCGUGACAUGGAACUGAUUCAUCUGCUAUCUUAAAAAGUAUAUGAGUUCACGACCCAUUGGAUCCAAAUUUCAUGAAAACUUAAGCGUUGACAUCACAGACGAAAUCCAAAAUGAUGGGAAAAAAGUGACUACAAAUAAAAGAUAUCAAAUCCUGAAAUAACUGCAAUAGGCAGCUUGAAGCAAUUAGGAAGACCAUGCACAAUUCGACGUUUUAAAAAAAAAAAAAAACACGCGAAUCUCCCUGUGUAAAAGUUCCCCAUGCACAUUUGCACGUUUAAGCAGUUUUGGAAGCAACUCAUUCUUAUGGACCCACAAACAACACCAUUAAGUAGCACGGCAAAGAUCAAAGGAAAACACAAAUAAACGACAAAUCUAAUAAUACGUGUAGUGCUAUGUGAGGCUAAUCACCAAAAACAGUCCAACAGAGUGAUAAGGGUCGGCAUUCAUGCAAAUCAGAAUGUAUGCGAUAUGCCAUCCCUCAGAUUGCAGUUGCUUUAGUUCUCAAAAACUUACCAACUCAGGCACAUAAUCUGUUCCUUGUUUCACUUUAAGACUCAUGAUCUUGAACUUGACCUUGCUCUUCUGCUCUGUUGGUUUCUCAUUAUUCUCUGGAUGCUCCACAAACUUGAAAACUGAAAACAAAAUCAAGUUGACGUAUAAGUCAAUGUAGAUAAUCCUUAUGCAGUAAGAAAACAGAUGCCUUCAUCUCUUUGGAUAUGAAUACUGAUACAGAAAACAGUGAAAAUAUGUGCAGAUAAGGUAAAAGCUAGCUAAUUACCAGUUGCAAUAAUGCUUUCUCCAGGUGCAAGGAUACCACCAGGCGGUCGCAUGUAACAGCUCUUUGGUGCAGUAGUUUGAAACUGCAAAUGUAAGAGAAAGCAAUCAUGAAUCUCACCAUUCUCCUUAAAUGGUUCGUAGAGAAAAUAAAGGAUCAUAAAAUGUUACCCUAACGACAAAAACAUGACAGAGAUCCUUUCUAAAUAGUUGUAUAAAGUUUCAAAUGGUGAUUUCAGGGGAAUGGGGGUAAUGAAGAGCCGCAUUAACAGCAUUUUACACAUCGACAGACUCUAAAUAAUUGUGGAAUAGGAAUAAUAAUUUUAAGAAAUGAUAGCAGUAAUAGACAUAAUUCACAACUCAAGUCACUUCAUGUAUACCAGAAAUAGAAAAAGGGAUAAGCACUUAACAAAGUACGAUUAAAAUCCAACAAAAACAAAGGAUAACAAAAAUACAUACCUUAAACGCUACAUGCGACUUGCUGGAGUUCUUAAUCCUAACAGCACUCCUCACCUGCUUCCCCGGUUCAUCUUCAAUUUUCACAAAGAGCAGAAGUAAACAUUCAAAUUCAAACGCUUUCCAAAUCAGAAAACCUAACAAAUGAUCAACUUAAUGCACUAAAAAGUUAAUAACAAUAAAUUUUUUAAUCUGAGUCAGUUUCCUUUCUUCAGAAUUAGAAUUCAAAUAUAAUCAACAAGCUAAGAAGCCAAAAGCCGGAUAAGACAGCGCACAAGGAAAGUAGAGAUUGUUAGCUGGAUCAAGGCGGAGGCGACGCCGAGCCGGUAACAAGGAUCUAGCCACAGAAGAAACGCUAUUAGCAGAGGACCCCGAGCUUAAGCCGACGCCACCGUUUUGCUGGCUGUGCUGACUGUUGGUUUGAAGAUUCUGAGUUGAUGACGAGGAUGAAGACGCCGUUCCCGAUUGCCAGAAAGGACACAGCCUCCACAACUUGCCGUCGUAGUGGCCUGACCGAUGACUGCUGUGGUCAGCGAUCGCCAUGCCAGAGCUCGCCGGAAUCUUACGUAAUAAUUCUCAGGCGGGUGGAGGUGGUCUACGGAUUAAAUUAGAUUUUAGCUUUCUACGAGUUUUUAACUUUUUAGUCAACACCCCUGGGUUGACUUAAAUAUUGGAGGAAAAACUAAAAAGGUCAGAGAAGUUGUUGAAAUUUGUUUGGGUUAAUUGGGUAUUUAUAUUUUAUGAAGUGAGAGAAUGGCUUCUUUCGUGUUUUGUUGAUGGGAGAAGAAAGCCGGACUCGAGUUGAGGAACUUAAUUGGAUUUGACACUUGUUAGUUGACAUCCGACUCACACUACACACGCAUGUGCACAAUCAUCGCUCACAUUACCAGGCAAGUUGUGUUGGGCGGAUCACGCAGAACUGCAGAAUAAAAACCCCAAAUUACUGCAGGAGUCCCCAGAUUUUGUAUGAUACCCCAAUUUGGUUCUUUUUUUAACAAUUUAGGAGUUUAAUGGGGCAAAGACAAAAUGAGCUUAAUAAACUCGAUUAAACUAAUUAAUACAAAGUUGGGCUCAAUUUCCUACUUGACUUCAUCAUUUAAAGAUAAAUUAUAAUUCAGAGAUCAUGAUCUCAAUCACCGUUCAGCUAAUCUAAUCUCAAACUUGCCAAUACGCAAAGUAAUACUAUAUGCUGUCUUGUAUAUUGGUUGGUUUGAUACUUAAAAAUACAUAAUUUUAUUCAGAGUUAAAAUUGAUUUUUCCCAAAAAAAAAAUGAAUGGGACUCAAUUAUUCAGUUUUCCUAUCUCAGUAAGCCAGCUCACGUGAAUCAUCACUACAUCUUCAACGAUUCGAGGUAUUGCAGGACUAAUGAAGUAUAUGCGUGAGUUUUGAUGCUACAUUUAUUAUUAUUAUUAUUAUUUGAAGCUAAAGUAAAUACCCAACUCUUCAUGCCAUUAACCAAAAUUAGUUUUUAGCCCUUUAAAAUUGUAAGUCGUAAUGAAUAUUUUAGUUCCCAGUCUUUUUGAAGCCAAAGGGAUAACCGGUUAUUUUUUUAAGACUGCUAAUUUUUAAGUCGUAAUAAAAUGGAGGGACUAGAUGAUAUUUUUACUUAAGAUGUUAAUCUUUACAGGGUACUGCUGUGGAAACUUUAGUGAUCAUUGCACUAAUUAUUCCUUAAAAAGAAAAAAUAAUGAUUUGCAGAGCUUUUAGCCAGUUGUUUAGGAAGCCAAAAAAAGCGAGGUUGAAAUGGGCCUAAGCUUUCCCUUACAAUGGUUUCAAGUUUAAUUAAUUUCCAUUUUCUGUGUAGUACUACUAACUUUUAGGUGUGCAAAUGAGUUGAGCUUAAUCGAGUAGAUCAUGAACUUGUUCAGUCAAAAUUCAAGCUAGACCAAGUUCAAACAACUCGCACUAUUUGAUGAGUCAAGUUCAAAUCUAAUAUAUAAAUUCGUUGAGUUUAAUCGAGCUUCACAUAUAUAUAUAUAUGUUUUCUUAAUUUUUUUAUUUAUUAGUCUAAAAUGUCUAUUUUAUCCCUUAUUUAAAUUUAUAUAAAAUAUAAAUUUAUAUUUCUUAAUUCCAAUUAGGCUCGAUUAAGUUCGAUUGGGCUGGAUAAGUAUGGGUUCAAGUUCAACCUUGAAUAAUGCAAAAUAAAAUCGAGUUCGAGCUCGAGUUUAACUUUUAAGAGCUUGACGAACUUGAGUUUGAAUCCAAAUUUUUUAAUUCGAGUUGAACUCGACUCAACUCGAUUACACCCUAUCUUGUUAUAGUAAUACAGAUUUCAAGCUUAAAUAGAAAGUUCAAAAGCUCGUUGAUACAUGCUGGGUCAAAUGGUUAGAUCACUUUCUUACAAAUUUUUUUUUUUUGUUUGUUUGUUUGAUUUUCAUUAUUAGUGUGAAGACUGUAUUGAUAGAAAAUUUGUAAGAACCCCUAUAAGCGAUUUAUAGUCUAAGGACAUGCUUUGAUUUGUGGCGGUGACCAGAGUCGAAUCCACCUAAAUUUUUUCCUACUGAGAAAAAAUUGACAUCUAAAUGUAGCUCAAGUGCUAUUGGGGAAGUUUUUUAAAAAAAAGAAAGAAAGGUGGCUAAAGUAAGCUAAUUUCAUCACUACUACUGCUUUUUUAAUUUCCUUUUCUUGUUGCAUGACUUCCUUAAUAAAAUUCUUCAAGAGAGAUCCCUUGCCCUACCCAUUUUAUGGUUCCUUAAGGGUAGGCCUGUCAACGGGUCGGGUCUAGACCCGGAUCCGGACCGGAUCCGUGAAAUUUUUGCGGGUAUGGGUAGAGAUUUAAUUCCGUUUCCCGGAUCCGGAUCCGUUUUGUCAAACAAAAAAACGGGUCGGGUACGGAAUAUAGUAUUUCGACCCGUUUUAGACCCGGAUCCGGAUAUAAAUGAAUUAAUAAUUUAAAAAAUAUAUAUUUAUCAAUAUAAUUUGAUUAGGGUGAUGUAUUUUAAUAAAGUUAAUUUGAUUUCUUUUCUUAUUUGAUUUUUUCUUUGCAUUAGUUAGAAAUUAGUUUACAAAUAUAUUUUUUUCUCAUUUUUAUUAGAAAUUAUAAAUUUUGGUAAAUUUGUUCGGGUAGACCCGGAUCCGGAUCCGGAACAUAGAAUAAAAGAUCCGUCGGGUAAACGGGUCGGAUCCGGAUCCGACAUAGUAAUUCGGGUCCGGGUCCGGAAUAAUGAAUUCCGGCCCGGAUCCGGCCCAUUGACAGCCCUACUUAAGGGCACCGGCGUGAUUUCAACAGUAUUUGCCAGUAAAUAUUUAUUACCUAAUAAAAAACUGAUCUGUAGUUAGGUUCCUGUUUUUGGGUGUAAUUCUAUAUAAUUGACUGAUGCGUUGUAAUUUGUAUAUAGUAUUUAGUAAUAAUAUAUUUGAAUAUAUAAUUAUAUAUAAUAUCAAAAUAUAAAUAUUAUAUAUAGGUAAUUAAAGGGUUAGAUCUAUAUCGAAUUUAAGUCUAAUGAGGGCCAAGUUUAGCUCAUAUUUAAUUCGGAUAUAUUUUUUAGGCCCAAACUUAGAUCGGCUUACUGAAAGAUUGGACUCAUCAAACUUUUUUUGGGGUUGAACGAGCCGAGUUCGGCUGAUCCAACCCCAUUGACAGUCCUAAUGGUCAGAUUCUUGUUUUUGGGUGUAAUUCUACACAUUGACUUCUCUAUGAUCAUUGUAGGAAGCAAGUAAAACCAAAAUCUACUACUAAUAUAGCGGCCUUUAUCAGCCACUGAAUUCAUACAAUACACACACACGCACACAAAAAAAAGGAAGGAAGGAAGGAAGGAAGGAAGGAAGCAACUUUAUCAAACUCAAUCAUGCAACUUAGCAGUGUCUCAUUUUUGGGGCUCUCUCUUUACCUUGCUACUACUUUUUCUGCCCCUUUUUGGUAAUGAAGGGUAGGAAGCACAGCAGCAACGAUUACUAGUAGAAAGAACGCAAAAAGUCGUUGAUUUAAAUGGGCCAAAUUGCAAAGGCAGCUGAUCAACGAUCAAUCAAUCAAGUGCCUAUGAAAUUGUUCACAUGCAACAACUCGUGCCCUUUUCAAUUAAAAGAAGUCACUGCAGAAAUCAGUGGAUUUGGUAAUGGGGGUAAAUAGUGGUAAUUAAGAUGUGUUGGGCAAUAAUUGUGGGAUAAUGCGAAGUAGUUGAGGUGGCUUAGUUGGGAAACGGAAAAGGAAAGGAAUUAGGUGUCGCUUGUCUGUUGCAUUUACUGUUGUCGGCUAGGUUUGUUGGCGUAGGUUUAGUUGGACGGUAGGAAUUGAUUACUAGACAAUUUAAUGGCAUUCUGAGGUGAACCUGGAAUUUGUCCCUUGAUCGAUUAUGCAAACGAGGUAAGUUUUCAUUUUCAAUCAGCCGUAAUUAUUAUUAUCGGUAUUAUGCCACGUGCAGGCUGGCCCAGUUUUAUUUCUUCCCCGUCAAAUUCGUGAAAUUUUUUUGAAAAAAGCCACAUCACAGUCUUUAAUAGUAGUUUUACCACAUUUUUGCACCUUUUAUUGACUAUUGCAUGACCAAAGUAAGGAAUAAUAAUGAUGAUGAUGAUAAUAAAAGCAUUAUUGUAUUUUUCUGGCUGAGACUUAUAAAUUGUAAUCAUACUACAACUUUAUAAGGCUACGGGCAUUUUCUUCCACUCACUCCAUACCAUUCUCAGAAAGUUACGUGGGCCUUGUGCGGUCAUAGAGUCAAGAAACUGGGAGAAGACUUUGAAUAUAGAAGAAUUAACCCAGAAAUACACAGCUUGUAUUGUAACCUCUGAAAUUUGCCAAAGAACAAACUAGGAAAUAUUGAGGCCCAAAUCACACACUAUAUUGGGCAGCAGCUUUUGACUACACGCGACUUGUUUAGGCUGCAGUAAAGUAGAAGAGGUCCACGACUGUGACGAUUGAUUGAGUUGUCACAUUCAUUUUUUUUGUAGAGCAGAGGAUAAUUACUCAUGGCGUCGUAUGUAGACGUGUGUGUUCAAUAUUCGAUUAUCAUGUCGCAUAAUUAACAGAAGACUAUGGGAGUUUUAUUUCUUUUAUAUAUAUAUAUAUAAUAAUAAUAGAAAAAUAGUACUUUUUUUUUUCAGAGACUGUAACUGUUGUAUAACCUAAUCUAUCUUACACUAAGGGAAGGGAACAGACUUAAGGAGGUCCAAGGGUAAUUCGAAGGAGACUGAAUCACCAUCGGAUCAGACGGAUACAUUACGCACCCGCCUGAAUUUUUUAAGUAAAGCCACUUUAAUGUGAUAAUUGGUGGGAGCACCCACCAAACUUUAAUACUUUGAUGGUGGCCAAAGGCUGGUGGUUAAUAGAAAAGUAGUACUUGCACUGAAUUACUUCAACCUUGCAAUAUCUCUUCUCUGCAUAAAACAGAAUGAAUACAAUACGGAUUAACAUGAUCUCACUCCAAGAUCUCAAAAACAAUAUCUUUAGCAAAUUUAACAUUAUUAGCACCUCUUUUUCACCCAAUUGCAAUUCGCAAUCAUGUGCUUCUUGGAGAAGAAACUUGGCAUACACAUUCGUCUUAUGUUAAAACACUUGAAUUUGAUAAAAUGAUCCAUCUCAAUUGAGAUGUUUAUGGAGAAGGCUCUUCUUUCUUAUUCACUACUCAGACUAAGCAGUAGUAGAUAGCUGCCUUUCACUAGAUUUCAUUUUAGAAAGCAGUCGUUAUUUGCACAUAUAUAUAUAUAUAUAUAUAUAUAAAGGAACUAGAUAGCAUUAGUUAGGUACCUAACUAACAUUUCCCAGAGAUUCACUUUCAGUCUUUCCUAAUGGCCAAGUUUAACAGAUAAAACAGAAAUUUUGAUAGUACAAGUUAGAGUUAUUCUUUAAAUGAUGACAGAAAAUUGGGGAGAAUCCAGCAGCGUAAUACCACCACUAUAAACAUAGGAACUUUACAGCUGGAAUAUUUAUUUGUUUGGAUUGUGAUUUUUCACAGAAAUUUUUUUAUCUUUUUCGUAAACACAUUUCUCAAUUAAUUUUUUACUUUACAUACAUCAAAUCAAAUCGCUAUAGUAUACAUAUAUAUAUUUUACAAAAAACUUUUAAAAACAGCAAUUCAAAUGGGAAUUUUCAAAGAUUUAUGGAAGGCCAUCCAUGGCUGUUUACCAUGCGUGGAGAACUCGAAAUGUAAGUAUUGUAUCAGAAUAAAUCUGCGUCUGCUACGGACGUUGUAAAUGCCGUCAUUGAUUUGAGGCCAUCCCACAUAUUGCUGCCUCUUGGAGGGGAGUGCCAAAGAUCAAGGAAAAUUGGAAGCUAGUUCACAUAUGUUUUGAGGGACAUUAUUAGCAUUUGUAUAGAUUACAUUAGGAAAAUUUUGAUGUAUGGGCAGGGCAGCCUCCUGCUAGAUGAUACUGUUUUAAAUCUUACCAGUCCUUAUCAAUAAAAUUCCCAAGUUUACUUGAAAAAAAGAAAAAAGCAGCAACAAAAACAAAGAUGAAUCAUGUAUGGAAGGCCGAUUAAACUGUUCUUUCGUUGAGAAAAAUUAUAGGCAAAAACUCCAAAAUUUUUGUUUCCAGUGAGACUUUCAUUGGUUAAAAAUUGCUUUGUCAAAUGUCAUAGUAUAUACUAGUUAUUUUAUUUCCCUUCUGUUACUGGCUUUUUCCAUUCCGGGCCGCUGCUAUUAAUACGACACCAAUUCUUCUCUCCUGCUAAAAAAUUUAUGGCUCCUUUAGGCUGAUUCUUUUUUUUUUGGGCUGAUCCUUUAGGCUGAUUCCACUUUUGUGAUUUUGAUUUUUUGAGUUACAUGCCCCAGCCCAACAACAUCUCCGGUAUUUCAAGUUUGAGUACUAUGAAUGCAAACGACUAAGCCCAUCAAGCCAUACUAAAUAUUAAUUUAUAUUCUAUAAUCAUAUCAAAGUUUUUCCUUACAAUGCCAAGGACUGAAUUGCUACGAGACUACAUACAACGCAAUAUGAUGUCUCACCCCCAAAAAAAAAUUUUCUUUGAACAUGAUGAGGGGGUAGGAGGAAGGGCCUAGUUGGGCCCCCAAAAGAUCAAAUGGAAGAGGCAUGCAGCCUUUUCUCCCUCCCUCUGCCUCUUUUCAUCAUGGGCCAAACCAGUCCUAAUAGUGUUCAAUUUCAUUUCGCCCGCGGCCGCAAUACUCCUCCCGGAGCUGCUUUUGCCAUCACCGGAGUACUCCAUCAGGAAAGCAUUCCUCUUCUGCUGCUCCAUGCUCUUGAAUGCUGCCUCAAGCUUGCAAACCCUUUUGUUACCACUCAUCUUUCUCAGCCUUUUCUUUCCCUUUUCCUUCGUUUUUUUCGUUUGGUCCACUAAAAAGUUGGAAAAAAAAAAAGGUAAUUGGAUCAGUGAUCGUGACUAUAUAUUAAGACUUGAGCUAAUUAGCUUCUGAUAGAGCAUUUCUGGCCAUGCCACAUGUAGGCAUAUUUAUAGAAGACUAGAAAGAGACACCAGAAAGAAAGACGCGUCUGGAAAGUUGGUGGGAGCAAGUUUUAGAAAAGAAAACAAGGGGUGAGAGAUCCUUGGUUUUCCUUCACUUUCAGCGGUUUUUACCAAAAUGUGGCAACCGGACCAUAGUUUGUUAGUAUAACUCUGCAUGUGCUUAAUUGUCUUUCCAUUAAAGUGAUUAUACCUUAGAACUUUACAACAUUGAAGUAGUAGACUAUUCUCCAGCAACGGCGGAUAGUUGCUGGUAACAAGGAAAGCCAACAGGGAUCGAUCAUUAGUUUAGUUACCCCACGAGUCUGACUUUAUCCAUGGAACAUGUACUAAUAACCUAAUAUUCUCAUUUGAUUUAAACACUUAAAUAUGAGAUCCAAAAUAUUUUUGUUUGGAUUAGCUGUUUUCUGGAGUGUUUUUGAAAUAUUUUAUUAUGGCAAUCUGUAUAAAUUUUUUUUAUUAUGGAUAUGUUUUGGUGAUGUUUUUUAAGGUAUUUUUGAAAUGUAUUUAAAAAUAUUUUUAAAGCUUAAAAAAUUAAAUCUACCACCCACCACCACCACCCCGUCUCUCCUUCCCCUACCUCUCCCCCUUCCUCCUCCCUUUCUUUCUUCUCUUCCUCCUUCAUUCUUCCCUUCCCAUUUCCUGUCACACCCCACCCUUCCCCUUCCCCUUCCCCUCCUUGAUGUGACGGGAAAUGGGAGAGAAAGGGAGGGGAGGAGGAAAGAGAAGGUGGAGAAAGAGGGAGAGAGAAUAGAGAGGGAAAGAAAAGGAGGAGAAGGAAGGAGAGGAUGGCGGUGGUGGUGGUGGUGGUGGGCGAUGGUGGUGAUAGAUGGAAGAAAAACAUAAUUUAGAUUUUAUUUUUUUUUUGUAUAUUUGAAAUUAUUUUUGAUAUAUUAUAUGGAUGUGAUAUUUUUGAAGGUGUUUUUAUUUAUAUAUUACUGUAGUAAUAUUGUAAAUGAAAAACUUGUUUUUCAAAAAAUGGAGAAUACAAACAAAGCCUAAUUAGUCGUUUUUAAGCUAGUUAUUUGAGUUUGAAAAUAUAUUUGAUAGGUAACCUCCGAAUUUUUGCUGAAAGUGGGAGGUGCCUUUGCAUGCUUGUUCCAAAAAAAAAUAAAAAAUACCUUCAACCAAAAAAUCCUCCUGCAUGCUCGUUUUUAUUACUACGUAGUAGGAAAGCGAAAUAAAGGAAAGAAAAAAUUAUUUUCCCAUGUAUGUUCGUUUUGAUAAGAAAAAAAAAAGAUAAUUAUUAUAAGUUAUAGAAAAUAUUGUGAAUGCUAAUAAUUUUCCUCCAAUAUACUGCAAAUUUUGUAAGACACAAAAUGCACGAAAAUGAAGAAAAUUUUGCUAAACUUUCUUACUAAUACUAUACAAACACCUGUAAAGGGCAAAAAUAACUAGUACUUCUCAAUUUUCAUACUUUAAGGACUCCUGAAAAUCGCUAUGGGCCCAAACCUGCAGGACUAGAGUCUCGCAGCCUGACUAUUUCUUUUAGAGGAAAGUCAUUAGAGAAUGGAGUUGUUGCCGUAAAACCAGAAUUAAGGUCAAUACACUUGCUUCGGUGGUUUCAUCCUCAAAGUCUCUUUCCUCCUCUUUCUUAUGAAGCGGUUUUGCCUUAAAUUCUCUCAAAAAAUUGAAAAUUUAAAAAGAACUUUUUUAGAUAGCACUGGUGUCUGUCUAAAAAAGUUCUGUUUUGUUUUUCGUUUAUACUUCACACCAUUUCAACCGUGCGAUCCUCUGAACUCACAGCCACAGGUUUCUAUUAUACAAGACUCACAACUCAACUACGGCUCUAAGAUAUUAUGAAAGGCUUCUUUCUUUCUUUUUUUUUUCAAUAAAUGUUUUGAACCUUUUCUUUUUCUUCUGGAGUUUGAUAUUUGAGCCUUCCACGAAUUGAAAAUUGAUUGCAUAUAAUGAUAACUCUCUUUCUUUAACUCUUUUUUCGAACCAUCUUCUACGUAAUUCUUUCUCCCAAUAGUAAAAAAAAAAAAAAAAAGGACACAAAUAAAAAUGAAACAAGAAGUAAAAGUUCAAAGAAGAGCAAAAUGGACCAAAGCCUGCAAAUGAUAUUCGUUGUCUUACAAUAAUAUAACAAAUUGUCAGGAUAUAUCAUAUGUUUUCUGAAAAAAAGAAAAAAAAAAGGAAGAAGAAGCUAAAAUCUAAUAGUACUAGGACCCCAACUACUCAAAUGCAUUACUUUCUUCACAGAGUUUUCUCUUCUUGGCGUCUUCUCUACUUCCCUAACCAAGAGAGAUGGCAAAACGGAGCGGGUAGUCAGGGCCUGAUGGUACCAAGAAGCAUGGCGUUGGAGCGGCAUCAAGGGGCGGCUACCUUGAUCUUUGAGAACCAUACCCACGGCUGCUCCUAUGCUCCCACCAACAACCAAGGCCUUUGCAUGCAGUUGCAUUCAUUCUUCCAAUAUUUGUUCUAGUAUAAUUAAUAUUGCAGAAUUAGUAUGAUUGAGAAGGUGGUAUUUCGUAUUGCUUGAGAAGAAAAUAGAUGGAUGAAAAGGUUUGUGAUUAAGGCUGAGAAAGGGACUAUGCGUAUAUAUAGGACAGGUGUAGAGAACAUGGCACGUGAGACAAAAGUUAGGCAUACU
rnacentral:lncRNA from 1 species